UCAUUUUGUUACACAAUGGUUUCAUGAAGUUUAUUUUACUGUGUCACAAAAUCCGAGUUAGUAUAUCUCUCCCAUUGUCCCAACUUCUCUACUUUCUUGUUCAGAUGUGGACGUCACCACUGGAUCUGCACCAGAAAGCCAAUUAGAUCUACAAAUAUGUAAGAUGACACCCAUACCGCUCUGCUCCAUGGGAACUAAUUUCUUAAAAAAAAAAAAUUAAAAUGGUGAGAGACAAAGAAUAAUUUAAUAUUUUCUUUAAUUCCAUUUGUCCCAUCACUUACACUUAUGUUUGUCAGUUUGAGAUAAUUUUACAAGCCAUGAAAGUGAUGCUGCCACCACCAGGCCUCACUGUCAGGAUUGUAUUGGGCAGGUGAUGAGCAGUGCCUGGUUUUCUCCACACAUACCGCUUAUAAUUAAGGCCAAAAAGUUCAGUCUUGUUUCUUCAUCUUGAAUCUUAUUUCUCAUAGUCUGGGAGUCCAUGUGUUUUUUGGCAAACUCUAUGCGGGCUUUCAUGUGUCUUGCACUGAGGAGAGGCUUCCGUCGGAUCUCUCUGCCAUAAAGCCCUGAUUGGUGUGCAGUGAUGGUUGACUUUCUACAACUUUCUUCCAUCUUCCCACUGCAUCUCUGGAGCUCAGCCACAGUAAUCACUGGGUUCACUGCAAAAAAGGGUUGUCUAAAAACAAGAUAAAAACACUAAAUCUGAGGGAAAAAGUACUCAAAACAAGAGAAAUAUCUUACUUGACUAGAUUUCUUGAAUUAAGACUGUUAAAUCUAGAAAUAAGCGUGUCUACAGAUGUAUGAACACUUAAAAUAAGAAAUUAACUUUUAAAACAAGAUAAAUUAACACUUCUAAUUCUAAGUUGUUGUUGUUUUUUAUUAUCUUGGUAAAAAAAACAAAUAGUUUGCAGUGUUCUUCUUUACCUCGCUCACCAAGGCUCUUCUCCCCUGAUUGCUCAGUUUGGCAGGACGGCCAGUUCUAGGAAGACGUCUGGUCAUCCCAGAUGUCUUCCAUUUAAGGAUUCUGGAGGCCACUGUGCUCUUUGGAACCUUAAGUGCAGCAAAAAUUCUUUUGUAGCCUCAGCCAGAUCUGUGCCUUGCCACAAUUCUGUCUCUGAGCUCUUCGGGCAGUUCCUUCAACUUCAUGAUUCUCAUUUGCUCUGACAUGCACUGUGAGCUGUAAGGUCU